rnacentral:rRNA from 1 species
AUUGAACGCUGGCGGCAUGCCUUACACAUGCAAGUCGAACGGCAGCACGGGAGCAAUCCUGGUGGCGAGUGGCGAACGGGUGAGUAACGUAUCGGAACGUACCUUUCAGUGGGGGAUAACGUAGCGAAAGUUACGCUAAUACCGCAUAUUCUGUGAGCAGGAAAGCAGGGGAUCGCAAGACCUUGCGCUGAUUGAGCGGCCGAUAUCAGAUUAGCUAGUUGGUGAGGUAAAGGCUCACCAAGGCGACGAUCUGUAGCGGGUCGUGAGAGGAUGAUCCGCCACACUGGAACUGAGACACGGUCCAGACUCCUA